rnacentral:tRNA from 2 species
GGGCGAUUAGCUCAGCUGGUUAGAGCGCUACACUGAUAAUGUAGAGGUCGGAAGUUCAAGUCUUCCAUCGCCCACCA